UACUUAAAUAUAUCACGGUUUUUUUUUCUUCACCAUCCGUGAGGAGAACUUAAAUAUAUCACGUUAUUUUUUUUUUUCCACAGAAGGAUCUGUUUAUGUGGUUACACAUGCACAGGUACGUCUUUUUCGGCAUAUCUCGAGCAUAAAGGUUUGCUUUCUGUGUUAUAAUCUCUCCAAAGCCAUCUGAAAACGUUCUGCCUCUGCUCUAUCUCAAGAAACCCGAUACAGUCCCAAGGGUAAAAGAAGCCACGUUUAAAGGAUGGUCUCGGUUAUAUUUAGCUGAGCAGCAGCACCGGCUGACACGAGCAGAAACACAAGGAAGAACAAAGUGAAAACGCUCGACAGUUGUUAACAAAAACCUGCGAGUAUCUGAGUUGUUCAAACAGGGUAGGAAAGUCCCUGACUACAUAAAAUAACCAGGAGGUUUCAGGGAGCCUGUUUUUCCCAUGAUUAAAAUUCUCUUGGCAGUG